GUAUGCAAUCUACCUUUCACAGAGGGAUAGCCCAGAGAAAUUUGGAUUAAUACCUCAUAGUAUAGUACCUUGGCAUCAAGGAACUAUUAAAGAUUUAUCGGUGAAAGAUGAGCAUGCGUCCCAUUAGCUAGAUGGUAAGGUAACGGCUUACCAUGGCUACGAUGGGUAGGGGUCCUGAGAGGGAGAUCCCCCACACUGGUACUGAGACACGGACCAGACUCCUACGGGAGGCAGCAGUGAGGAAUAUUGGUCAAUGGGCGCAAGCCUGAUCCAGCCAUGCCGCGUGCAGGAAGAAGGUCCUAUGGAUUGUAAACUGCUUUUAUACAGGAAGAAACACCUCUACGUGUAGAGACUUGACGGUACUGUAUGAAUAAGGACCGGCUAACUCCGUGCCAGCAGCCGCGGUAAUACGGAGGGUCCAAGCGUUAUCCGGAAUCAUUGGGUUUAAAGGGUCCGUAGGCGGCCAAAUAAGUCAGUGGUGAAAGCCCAUCGCUCAACGAUGGAACGGCCAUUGAUACUGUUUGGCUUGAAUUAUUAGGAAGUAACUAGAAUAUGUAGUG
rnacentral:rRNA from 1 species